rnacentral:rRNA from 1 species
GAUGAACGCUGGCGGCGUGCCUAAUGCAUGCAAGUCGAACGAGGUCUCCGGACCUAGUGGCGAACGGGUGAGUAACACGUUGGUACCUACCCCGAAGUGGGGAAUAACUGCCCGAAAGGGAGGCUAAUACCGCAUAAUACCGCAAGGUUAAAGCAGUAAUGCGUUUCGGGAGGGGCCUGCGUCCCAUUAGCUAGUUGGUAGGGUAAUGGCCUACCAAGGCGACGAUGGGUAGCUGGAUCGAGAGGUUGACCAGCCACACUGGGACUGAGAUACGGCCCAGACUCCUACGGGAGGCAGCAGUAAGGAAUCUUCCACAAUGGACGAAAGUCUGAUGGAGCAACGCCGCGUGCAGGAUGACGGCCUUCGGGUUGUAAACUGCUUUUAUACGGGAAGAUUAUGACGGUACCGUAUGAAUAAGGACCGGCUAACUACGUGCCAGCCGCCGCAGUAA